AAACUCAACCUGCCAAAGACGAUGAUGGUGCACUUCUACACGGCCAUCAUCGAGUCCAUCCUCUGCUCCUCCAUCCCCGUCUGGUCCUUCUCUGACUUGUGUUUUACUCCAGGUUGCUCUGGUUUUCAAAAAAAAAAAUGGUGGAGGAGAGGAGAGAAGGGGAGUGGAUUUUGCCACUAGAUCGUCGGAGGUAGACGCCCUUCUCUAUGUGGUUUUCUCCCGGUGCUCGGGUUUUCAAAAAAUGUUAUUUCAUGUUUUAUAUCUGUUUGUGUCAUAGGAAGCUCGCCCAUGAAUAAUCGUGUAAGUCAGCGGUCGGGAACCUAUGGCUCUUCCGGUGACUGCAUAUGGCUCCCAGUUGAAAAAAAAAAAAAAAAUCAGUUUGGAACUGAUUUUAAAAUACUUAAACAAAAAUAGACGUUUACUGUGCAUUUCAGGCUGUGUGGACAGAGGAAUUUGCACUUGUGGACAGAGCAGGAUCUGCGGUAUGUCUAAUAUGCAAUCAUAAAAUUGCAUCGAUGAAACGGUCAAAGAUAAAGCGGCACUUCGAUACGCACCAUGCUUCAUUCGCAUCGAAAUAUCCAGAGUGUCUCAUGAGUGUGCAGUGACAAUUACCGACCUGACAUCCAUCUACGGCGGCAAAUCCCUGUCAAAAUUCGAGAGCGCAAAUCGAGUUGAUGCGCGCGCGUAAAUCAAACAUCCGCGAGCAAAAGUUUGUCCCCCGCGAGAUACUUGCUCGCUUGCGGAACGUGAACUUUGUUGCUCGCGAGGUUAACCUCUGCUCGUGCUCGAAGGUGUUUUCUAUGGUUGCUUAUGCUUAUGAAGUCACAUAAGCAUUAUCAGAAACAAACAACAGACAGGUUGAGCAGACACAUUUUGACCAGAAAAUACCCAGGGCCCAAUAGGUGUAUGUAACCACCCCCAGACAAAAGCAUCUAUUUAGGUAUUUGGGGGAAUUUUUAAACAACUUUGUUGCAGUACGUGGUUACAGAGAGUUUUAGAUACUCUUGUCUACAAGGAUCCUAUUUUGCCACCCUGAGCGACGAUGGAACACCUUGGUGGUGAGUAGUGUGUUUUAUUGUUGAUUACGUGUUUUAGUAAAACAAGCAUUAUACUUACAAGUAUAUAUUCAUUAAGGUUUCUCAACGAUAUGACAGUCCAGAGGGGGGUUAACCAUCUAAAGCAUCGAUGAGAAAGCGACUGCAGACAGGAUCCUAAAGAUGGUGGAAGGCUAACUACAAAAAGCGUGGAAACAGGCCUGCAGACCGAGCUAAGAAACCUUCAAGAAAUACAAAAACAACUCCCAACAAGCAUUGAGUGGCUUACCACAACCCUCAACAAGUAAGCCGUCCUUGGAUGGGCUGUGGUAUCCAUCAGAAGGCCCCGCGGUGUUUAAACCUCCAAUAAAAAGGCCCGCGUUAGCUCCCACCCGUCAGGACACCAGGGGAGGUCUAUAGUUUCCUCCCAAACAGGCACGAGGUGAUAAACACAUGCAAAAGGUUAAACACACAAAAGGUUAAAAGACAGCCUUUGGCGGCGUGGACUACACCGAAUGAAGAGCCGGAACUUUUUACCUCAAGAUACGACGACCUAAUAAGCGAUGAGGAAUUAAUACGCCGUGUUGAGGACCUCGAAUCGGACCUGAGAGGAGGCGAGACCAGAAGGCUGUAGGUGAGCAGAGAGAGGACGCUGCGCUGGUUGUACUGAAUGCCGAAGAGAAUGACCGACAUGGCAAGUUGUUAAAGGAGAUCCGGGAUUUGCGCCACACCACCCAGAAUUUAACAGCAUUCGUGACCAAACUCUGUAAAUCGCAGGACGAGACCAAGCAAACCAUAAAACAUAAUAUGGCAGUAUAAGAGAAAGCCGGUACGACUAUCAUAGACCUGCAAUUAAAUGAAUUAAGAAAUAAGAAUUUACAUCUAAAACUAAAUACUAAAAUUAAUAAACUAAAAACAUUAAACUUGAAAAAAAAGUUUUCUCCCAUCCUGCGAAUCAAUAUUGUCACUCCCCCUGUGACAUCAUCGAUGGAAGCGGCUUUGAUAUAGACACUGUGACAUCAUCGAUGGAAGCGGCUUUGAUGUAUACACUGUGACAUCGUCGAUGGAAGCGGCUUUGAUGUACACACUGUGACAUCAUCGAUGGAAGCGGCUUUGAUGUAGACACUGUGACAUCAUCAAUGGAAUCGGCGGUGAUGUAUACACUGACA